CACGUAGGCGGCUAUGUAGUGUGAAGUGAAAUCCCACGGCUCACCCGUGGACGUGCUUUGCAGACUGCAUGGCUCGAGGAUGGUAGGGGAGAGCAGAACUCCUGGUGGAGCGGUGAAAUGCGUAGAUAUCAGGAGGAAUACCGGUGGCGAAGGCGGCUCUCUGGUCCAUUUCUGACGCUGAGGUGCGGAAGCUAGGGUAGCGAACG
rnacentral:rRNA from 1 species